rnacentral:lncRNA from 1 species
AUAUAUAUAUAUGUAUGUAUGUAUGUAUGUAUGUAUGUAUGUUUUGGUGAAGGUGUUGGAAGAGGGUUUGAUUUGUCAUGAAUUUGCGACCGUUUCCGAUGAAACAAAAUCAUAGGUUUGAUGUUCUGGCAGUGCCGGAAGCGCUGGCGUGAUCUGUUCGUAAAUCCGACAAAUCGAUCGUCUGGAAUCGCUUGUUUAUCGAGGAAGGGACAAUUUUGCGAAACGAGUAUUUUUGUAAAAUACCCAAUAUUUUAUGUACUGUUUCGCGAGGGAUCGCUCGUGGAGGGGUGUUGGCUCGUUUUACACGAAUGGUGAAGGGCUUGGAUUAAUUGGUCGAGUGUUCGAGGGGUUUUUCGCAAUUGUUUGAAUGCUAUUAAGUUGGUAUCUAGGGUUUCUUUUGAUGAAAUACUAACCCUAGCUCCCAUCUCCUCAGCCAUCUAACCCUAGCCGCACCCCAACUCCCUCUGUGAGGUGCCGCGCACCCUGCCGCCACCGGCGACCCUCCCCCGGCCGCCAAACCUGCUGCCACCUCCCUCUCUCUCUUUCCCUCAAGCUCUCCCUCUCCAUAUCUCGCUGUCUAGACC